AGGUUGUAUAACUCAGUAAAUAUGUUAUGUUAUGUUCUCACUCGGUGCUGUUUCUUAGUCAAGGGUUUUAGAGUUGUUAACCGUUUGAAAGUAGUCGUAAACCCUCUAACACUGUAACGAAAAGGAAGACAAUCAUGGCGGUAGAGCUAGAGCAUAGCGAUUCAUGGCGUCUCCAAAGUGGCCAAUACAUUGGUGAAAUUUCAGCACUUUCUCUUCUCCACUUCCCGCAUCGUUUUUCUUCUCUUCCUUACCUCCUCACCGGCUCCGGUUCCCAACUUCUCGUCUAUGAUUUGGAACUGGGAAAGAUGGUAAACUCUUUUGACGUUUUCCAUGGCAUUCGCGUUCAUGGAAUUUCUUCUUGCAACAUUCAUUCCCAUAAAAUUGCCGUUUUUGGUGAAAAGAGAGUCAGGCUAUAUAGCUUACACCUUGCCCAGAUAGGCCUGGACUUGACUCUACUCCAGUCCUUGCCUAAGUUUGGUAGUUGGGUUUUGGAUGUUUGCUUUUUGAAGGGCCAUGAGAGUUCAUCUCAGGAAGCCAACUCCCGUCUCGUAGUAGGAUGCAGUGACAACUCUGUUCUUUUAUGGGACAUGUCAAAAUCUAGCGUGGUUCUUCAUGUUCAAUCCCCCGAAAGGAGCCUUUUAUAUUCAAUGCGCUUAUGGGGUGACAGUCUUGAAGCUCUCCGUAUAGCCUCGGGUACUAUUUAUAAUGAGAUAAUUGUUUGGAAAAUGGUUCCUCGAGAUGAUGUCAUGUCCAGUUCUCACUCUUAUAAUUAUGAAGCUGUUCAUAUAUGUAAACUAGUUGGCCAUGAAGGCUCAAUCUUCCGUUUGACAUGGUCCUCCAAUGGUGCCAAGCUGGUCUCUGUUUCUGACGAUCGUAGUGCUCGUAUCUGGGAAAUUUGCACUGGAAUAGAAGAUAAACCAUCAGAAUCUGUUGGCAUCGCCCUCUUUGGUCACAGUGCACGAGUUUGGGACUGCUGUGUAUCUGAUUCUUUGAUUGUCACUGCUGGUGAAGAUUGUACUUGCCGUGUUUGGGGACUGGAUGGAAAACAACUCCAUAUGAUCAAGGAACACUUAGGAAGGGGAAUAUGGCGAUGUUUGUAUGAUCCAAAAUUUUCUAUUCUCAUUACUGCUGGAUUUGACUCUUCAAUCAAAGUGCAUCAGCUGCAGACUUCACUCUCUGGAAGUCCGGAGGGACAUGCUGAGACAAAGGAAAUUGACAGAACAAACAAAUUCACUGUUUGUAUUCCUAGGUCUUCAGAUCAUAUUGGGCUUACAGAUAGUAAAAGUGAAUAUGUUCGUUGCUUGCGCUUUACACACCAAGACACCCUUUAUGCUGCCACAAACAAUGGUUAUCUCUACCAUGCUAAAUUAUCUGAUAUUGGUGAUGUAUGCUGGACAAAGAUUGUGCAGGCCAGCGAAAAGGUGCCAAUUGUUUGUAUGGAUUUGCUGUCGAAACCAUCCAAGCCUUGUUGUGGGAACGAGGAUUGGAUUGCUGUUGGAGAUGGUAAAGGAAACAUGACAGUUGUCAAAGUUAGUAAUGUUGCUUCUCCUAAUGCAGACAUCACUCUUACUUGGUCAGCUGGAAAAGAGAGACAGCUCUUGGGAACACAUUGGUGUAAGCCAUUAGGAUUCAACUAUGUUUUCACGGCUGACCCCAGAGGAGCAUUGAAGCUAUGGAGGCUGUGGGAUCCCUCACAACCUUUUCCUUAUAAUUCUUCAGCCAGUAGCAAUGUCUCUCUUAUAGCUGAAUUCACAUCUUGUUUUGGAAUGCGAAUAAUGUGUUUGGAUGCCUCAGUUGAGGAUGAGGUGCUUGUAUGUGGAGAUAUACGUGGAAAUCUUGUUUUAUUUCCUUUAUUAAAAAGUGCGUUGGAGAGCACAUUUGCUGUAUCAGAUACAAAAAUAGCUGCAUUAACUUACUUCAAAGGGGCACAUGGAAUAUCAAGUGUCACCAGUGUUGCUGUUUCUAGCCUAAAUUCAAAUCAGUUUGAAAUACGAUCGACUGGUGGAGAUGGGUGCAUAUGCUAUUUGAAAUAUGGCAUAGAUAGACAGAAUUUGGAAUUUAUCGGGAUGAAACAAGUGAAGGAAUUGAGUUUGAUCCAGUCCGUUUGCUCUGAUAAUAACUCUGUUAUUGAUUCGUCUAUUGCUCACUUUGCCGCUGGUUUUGCAUCUGUUGAUUUUAUGAUAUGGAACUUGAAAACCGAAACAAAGGUUUUGCAAAUACCUUGUGGUGGAUGGCGUCGUCCUCAUUCUUAUUAUGUUGGUGAUCAACCAGAAAUAAAGAACUGUUUUGCAUACGUAAAGGAUGAAGUUAUCCAUAUUCAUAGACAUUGGGAACCAGAAGGUUUCAGGAAGAUAUAUCCCCAGAACCUGCAUAUGCAAUUCCAUGGGAGGGAAAUGCACUCCUUAUGUUUCAUCAUGGAAGAAUUGCAGCCUGGAGCAAAUGGGAAGCACAGCCUUGUAUCUGGAUCUAGUUGGAUUGCUACUGGCUGUGAAGAUGGAACUGUGAGGUUGACUAGGUAUACUCCAGGUGUUGAAAAUUGGUCUGAAUCAAAAUUACUUGGGGAGCAUGUUGGUGGAUCAGCUGUGAGGUCAAUAUGCUAUACAUCAAAGAUACACAUGAUUUCAUCUGAUCUGGCCAAAAGUACUACUGCCAGAAACGAAGAUGAUGUGUUUGGAGAGAACAUAGAAAAUCCAUUUCUUCUAAUUUCAGUCGGUGCAAAGCGGGUCCUAACUUCUUGGCUGUUAAGGAAUAGGAACCUAUACAAGACGGAGAGUGCACUUGCUGGUGAGCAGCAUAAGGCAACAGGAAAUGGCAAUUCAUCUGAAGUGUCAUCUUCUAUGUCAUUCCAGUGGCUGUCAACUGAUAUGCCACCCAAAUAUUCCAGUUCUGAUAAAUAUACCAAAAGCAUUGGGAAGGGAAUUGGUCUAGUUGAGAAUUUGUCUGGUAUGAAAGCUGAUGAAGGUACAGAAGAUGGGAAGAUGGAGCUGAAAUCCUGCCCUAGAGACAAAUGUGAAGAUGAUUGGAGAUACCUGGCUGUCACUGCUUUUCUUGUGAAAUGUGCUGGUUCCAGGUUAACCGUCUGCUUUGUAGUUGUCGCUUGUUCAGAUGCCACAUUGAUGUUACGGGCUCUAGUCUUGCCCCAUAGAUUAUGGUUUGAUGUGGCAUUGCUGGUGCCUCUAUCAUCACCAGUUUUAGCGUUGCAGCAUGUUAUCAUUCCAACAUGUCUGCCUUCUAAAGAUAACAUUCAGGAUAGAAGUGUGUAUGUUGUCAUUAGUGGUGCUACAGAUGGAAGUGUUGCCUUCUGGGACAUAAGUGAAAGCAUUGAUACUUUUAUGUGCCGGGUAUCAGUUCUUCAUGUGGAGAAGUUCAUUGACUGUCAGAAACGGCCACGUACCGGAAGGGGAAGUCAGGGUGGAAGAUGGUGGAGAUCUCUGGGCCGUAGCAUGUCAAAAAAUAGCACGGACACUGAGUCAAUCACUGAAAAAUCUGGACCAGAUGCUAAUUUUGACUUCCCAAAUUUUGUUGCACAUGGAAUAUCAUCAAUGGAAAAUGCUUCUGAAAGUAGCACAACAACUUCUUCUGAAACUAUACAUGUUGCCUCUAACAAGUCAGAAUCGAUAGAUGAUUCUUCAUCUGAAAUAUGCAAAAUAUGUCCUUUACAUGUUUUGAAGAACAUUCACCAAUCUGGUGUCAAUUGUCUUCAUGUUUCAGGUGUGAAAGGUUGUCGAAAUCCUGACAAUGGUUUUGUUUACAAUUUACUUAGUGGGGGUGAUGAUCAAGCUCUGCACUGUCUUAGAUUUGAUUUGGAAUUUUCAUUAGCAGAACAGAAAACUGAAAUAAUAACACCAGAAACACAAAAUUCAAUCACUGGACAAGGAAAUGCUAAGAACUUUGUUCAAUCUUACCAAAACCAGAACCGGAGUUAUAGGAUCAGAUUCUUAAAUCGUGAUAAAGUCCCUUCAGCUCAUACCUCUGCUGUAAAAGGUGUCUGGACAGAUGGCGUGUGGGUGUUUUCCACUGGUCUAGAUCAGCGUAUCCGGUGUUGGCGUCUUGGGGAGCAAGGUAAAAUAACCGAGAAGGCCCAUGUGAUCAUUAGUGUCCCAGAGCCAGAAGCAUUGGAUGCUAGGAUCUGCAGUAGGGGAUACUAUCAGAUUGCAGUAGCGGGGAGAGGAAUGCAAAUAGCUGAGUUCUCUGCAAUUCAUAACAUAAAUUUAUGAAAGCAGAAGAGCUAUUCUGUCGGCUUGUUUUUUGCCCACUCAGUCAUUCCUGGCUGACUCCCUCCUGGGUAUGAAGUUGGUGCGCAAGAUUCUCAAGAGGAACCUUUUCCAGUCACUAUAGCAAGCCUGUACAAAGAAGCCAAAGAUAGAGAACAUAGCAAGCUGUUCGUUCUCAAUUUCUUUCACCUUGAGCUCUGCAAAUGCCUCAGGAUCAUCUGCAAGCUCCAAGGGAUCAAAGCCGCCUCCAGCAAUUUGGUAACUCUCAAAUGUGCCCAUGAGAAUAACCUGGGUUACCCAGAUUGCUAGAAUGCUCUAUGCAUGAACAAGACUUGGAUUUUUUAGAUAUUCAAGACCACCUUAGCUGAAUUAUCUGAGAACCAGCUUUGAACCAAAAACUUUACUCCAUUUCUGAAAAGAAGCUCUGGGAAGAGGCCCAAUGCUCCAAGCAUUGCUCCUUGCAGACUGUUGAGAACCCUGGCCCUGUAUUUGAUAAAAUGGUGGUAUGGAGAAUGGAGAUGAAAGAAUCAUUGAUGCCAUCUUUAGGUCGUUAUUUCUUUAUGGAUGGAGUGAGGGCUUUAAUUUGGAUUAUUAGAGCUUGUCAGAUGAGUGAUUGCAGCAGGGUAUGGCCAUGGAAUCCCAUUUUAUAUAGGAUCUGGUGAGGUUUACUAUGAAUAAUGUUAAAAGAGGUAGAUGAGCCCUUGACACUCAGCACAACACUAAUACUGAUUUGGGAUCCAUAUUAUAACUUAAUUUUGUGUGAGCACCACAAAUGUCCCUUGGUUAACUACCCUAUUUGUGGAUAUCCAUUCAUCCUUUCUUUUCCCUAAUUGGCUUAUAGAAUAAUAGUAUCAUUAAAUAUCAAGCUCAGUUCUAUGUUCAA